CGGAAGAUAAAAUGUUUUUCUCAGAUUUCAUUCGGCGCCUAUUACAUCGUAAACGUCGCGAAGAGAAAGUAAUCUCUGAGACAAUAAAAACGAAAUAUUUUCGUGAAAAUUAAAAUAAAAUGUGCUUCAGACGAUGAAACAGUUUCCUUCCUUAUGCCACAGUCGACUUAAUCUAGGUUCGGUACAUACGGUAGCUAAUGAGAAGAUGUAACGUUGAAAUGCCGGAAAAAGUUAUUGUUCAUUUGCAUCUUCGGAGUUCAGAGAAUUUGUCCUACAAUGAAAUAUUGGAAUAAAAAGAUAGAAAAACAUAAAAACAGCAAAUCCGGAAAAAGAAUUAAGAAACCCGAAAAAUAUCAAUUCGUAAAAAAUUCCAAAAAUCACAAUACCUAUGGCAGGUUUUAUGUUGCACCAACGGAUUAUGUGUUCUACUCAAUUAUCAAUACUGACCUACAAAUGAUUCGGAGAACAGAAACGGCAUUAAGCUUUAUAUGAUCUUGGAGAACGAUACCGGGAAAUCUCACUAUCUUGAAACGUGGUUUCAAAAUGGAAAGAAAAUAAUAAUCUUAGAGGGAUAUGAUCACAAGCAUUUGAAGUACCUUCAAGAUCAAGCUAAGUACAUGGCAAUUGCGACCCACGCGGUUCGUCGUUCUUGGGAACGAAAUAUAUCAAUUCUCGCGUUAGCCGUUUUCGGGGUGCGUGAAGAGUUAGAUGAAGUCUUCGAUGGAUUGUCAUACUUGCGUUGAUAUUAUGAUUAACACUUAUUGAUAUUAUAAUGAUAUUAUUGAUGAUAUUAUAAUUAACACUUGUGCAAACAAAAUGUAAGACUAAUCAUCGGUGUUUCCAUUUGCCGGCGUCAUAGGGGCAUCCCUCGCAUCCGCACUUGCUCACGACUAGUCAACAAACUGAAGUGCUGUAAUAGAGGAAUAGAAAGAGGGACUUCCCCAACUGCGAUACAUCUGCGCCGACACGACGCGAUGUAGUCAUGUAACGUCGCGUAAGUCAACUUUUUGCUAAUUGGCGCAUUCUCGCCAUUUCGAUGUCUGCCUUCGGGGAGCGUGCGGUUGCAAGGGUCGCUCCUAUAACGCCGGCAACUGGAAACCCUGCUUAUCAAGUUUCAGUAAAAAAAAAAGACCAGCGGCUCUAUGGGACUCUCUAUGAUUAGAACGGAGAACUCUGGCACUGUGUUGUGAAGCAGGAAAUAUUCAAAUGUAAAUAUAUUUGACUUAUAGCCCAGAGAUCAAUACUUAUUUCAUUUAUAUAUUAUAAUAUUAUAUAUUAUGCUUAUAUCAUUAAUAUAUAUAUAUAUUUCAAGCCUCUUUAUCAGAAGAUAUGCAAUCAGGUGACUCUUUCAGAGCAAGUAGUUCGGUAUCUGCUGUUCGCAAAAGGAAUUGUUACGAAUGUUAAGUUAUCCAGGAUAAAUAAUUAUUAAAAUA